UUUUUAGAGAGUUUGAUCCUGGCUCAGGAUAAACGCUGGCGGCGUGCCUAACACAUGCAAGUCGGACGAACAAAGAGGAGCUUGCUCCUCUGCGUUAGUGGCGGACGGGUGAGUAAUGUAUGAGCAACCUGCCUUUCAGAGGGGGACAACAGUUGGAAACGACUGCUAAUACC
rnacentral:rRNA from 1 species